rnacentral:misc_RNA from 1 species
UCUCUCUCUCUCUCUCUCAACUAAUUUCCUAUUAUUAUAUGUUCAGGAAUCAAUAUGUUACAGUGUGCAUCAUAUUAAGAUAUUAUGGAUGUUUACAUUGAAUCCCUUACCUCCUGUAUUAGGAGAGUAAAAGCCCUGCUGAUUUUCUGAUAGAAUGAAUAACACAAACACAAAAACCUUUCUUUGGCUUAUAUGAUUACAAAGUAAAUGGCUGCUUCGAUUCUUUAACCCUUAAUUAUGUGCAAAAUAUUCCAGACUUUCUCAGGUGCUGUUGAAGAGAGGGCAAAAAGGGUAUUCAACAAGCUGAAAGGUUUCCUUGUUGCAACUUUUUUUUUUGGAUUAAGCGAUCAUAGGGCCAUCAACAUAUAUGCUGUAGUUUUCUAGAUGAAACUAAGCUGCUUGCUGUUUUGCACAGGUAAGCCACAAAAAUCCUUGGCAGAUGUCCUCCGAGAGUACAACCUUCCCCCUGGGUUAUUCCCUCAAAACGUGAAAUGCUACGAGUUGGAUGAAUCGAAAGGUAAGCUAAUAGUUUACUUGCCCUCUGUCUGCGAGGUGUGUUUCAAGGACUCAUCCAUCUUACGGUAUGCCACUCGAGUGAAAGCGACAUUGUCAAGGGGAAAGCUCACUGGAAUAGAAGGAAUGAAAACAAAAGUUAUAAUGUGGGUUAAAGUCAGCAGCGUUACUGUUGAGAGCUACAAAUCUGAUAAAGUGUGGUUCACUGCUGGUGUGAAGAAAACCAGGCCUAAAGAUGCAUAUGAAAUGCCUCGCGAAGCCAUUCAAGUUGAAGAAUUUUGACAACUUUUGCAAGCUAUAAUUUGCUGGUUAUUGAUUCAAGUUCUUUGUUGACAGACACAUAUCUGUACCUAUUACUUUUCAUUGGCCUUUUAUUACUCAAGUGACAUAACCUGUUGGCUGCUGCCAUGCCAGAUUGUAACCAAAAUAUUCAAAAGUUCAAACGUAAUGUGCGAGCUCUGUCUUCUGCCUAUUAAUUA